rnacentral:lncRNA from 1 species
GUUUGCAAACUUUUUGAGGUACCUGGACAAAAGAGCCAGACAAGUCACCUUGUUUUAUACAUAGGAGAUUAUACACAAAAUAUGAGAUGAUGCUUUUAAAAAUGACUUAUCUACUUAAAAAAGGCUUUAAACCCAUUCUGCCAUUUCAACAGCUACAUUCUACAGCUAAUAUGGUGGCAUAGAAAAGAUUAAAUGACUUGGGAUAUAUCAUUCAAUUAGUGGCAAAAGAACUCAGGACUCUUAUUUGUCCAGUUCUUUCAAACAACGCACCACUUCAAAUUAAGUUACAAUUAAGAAUAAAACUUUCCAUUUUCUUGCCUGUAAAAUACGGUUACUAGACAAGAUCAUCUCCACAUUCCGAGACACCCCUUAACCUCACUCAGCACGUGCCGUUUCCAACUCCGCGGCAGAGACAGCGCCUGGCGACCCCGGGGGUAGAUCCCCACCGGGGAAAAGCCGCC